rnacentral:rRNA from 1 species
UCCCAGACUCCUACGGGAGGCAGCAGUGGGGAAUAUUGCACAAUGGGGGGAACCCUGAUGCAGCAACGCCGCGUGGGUGAAGAAGUACUUCGGUAUGUAAAGCCCUGUCAGCAGGGAAGAAAAUGACGGUACCUGACCAAGAAGCCCCGGCUAACUACGUGCCAGCAGCCGCGGUAAUACGUAGGGAGCGAGCGUUGUCCGGAAUUACUGGGCGUAAAGGGCGCGUAGGCGGGAACUUAAGUUAGAUGUGAAAACUCCGGGCUUAACCUGGAGACUGCAUUUAAAACUAGGUUUCUUGAGGGCAGGAGAGGAAAGUGGAAUUCCUAGUGUAGCGGUGAAAUGCGUAGAUAUUAGGAGGAACACCAGUGGCGAAGGCGACUUUCUGGACUGUACCUGACGCUGAGGCGCGAAAGCAUGGGGAGCGAACAGGAUUAGAUACCCUUGUAU